UGGGGAAUUUUGGACAAUGGGCGCAAGCCUGAUCCAGCCAUGCCGCGUGCGGGAAGAAGGUCUUCGGGUUGUAAACCGCUUUUGUCAGGGAAGAAAUCUUCUGAGUUAAUACCUCGGGAGGAUGACGGUACCUGAAGAAUAAGCACCGGCUAACUACGUGCCAGCAGCCGCGGUAAUACGUAGGGUGCAAGCGUUAAUCGGAAUUACUGGGCGUAAAGCGUGCGCAGGCGGUUUUGUAAGACAGAGGUGAAAUCCCCGGGCUCAACCUGGGAACUGCCUUUGUGACUGCAAGGCUUGAGUGCGGCAGAGGGGGAUGGAAUUCCGCGUGUAGCAGUGAAAUGCGUAGAUAUGCGGAGGAACACCGAUGGCGAAGGCAAUCCCCUGGGCCUGCACUGACGCUCAUGCACGAAAGCGUGGGGAGCAAACAGGAUUAGAUACCCUGGUAGUCCACGCCCUAAACGAUGUCAACUGGUUGUUGGGAAGGUUCCUUCUCAGUAACGUAGCUAACGCGUGAAGUUGACCGCCUGGGGAGUACGGCCGCAAGGUU
rnacentral:rRNA from 1 species